CUGAUUAUUCAAUAAAUUUAUAAAUACGUGACUAUCCAAUAAAUAGUCGAUUGCUGUGAGCCACUAAGUUCACGACAAUUCACGCGAACCUGCUUCUGGCACGACUCGCGUCUGAUUGAGGAUUUCUCAUCACGGUGCCCACUAUUUAGGAGGGUUAAACAAUUUCGGGACACAUUCAUUAUAAUAAAUAAAUAAUUUUAUUUCUGAGCUACAAUAACAACGUUUAAAGGAAUUCGUAUAAGUGAAUCAUUUUAAAAGACAUAACAAGUUUAGAUCUAUAUUGGAUUCUGGAUGGAAGCUGUGUCAUGUUUGAGAUAAACAUUUGUUUAUAUCACCAAAGAUACAUGCAAAAUGGAAAUUAUUUUGAGUAAAACAAGUUUUCGUUCAAACUUCACAUUGGUAUUCAUAAAUCGACAUUUAUGCGGCAUUUUCGUGGCAUUACAUCAUGGUCGAGAAAAGAGCUACUUUAUUCAAUUUUUCCUCAAUAUUUCAAUGCACAGAAAGCAAGGUACUUUAACAUUCUUCCUGUGUUAUAAAAUGUAAAUCAUAAAUUCGAUUCAAUGGAACCAGACUGCGUAACUGCCACAGAAUAAGUUCGUCGCAGAAGACACAGUGCGAUUAAUUAAAAUGAAAUCGCAGAUACAUAUCGAUGAAUAACGAAGCAAUGAAUAAAGUGCAAGUGAAAUUAAAAAAUUAAUCGAUAUAAUUUCUCCUAAAUCUAAUUGUUUAAAUUUUAGUAGAAAGCAAUUUGGAAGAUAGAAGUUUUAUUUGAUCUUUGGUCCAGAAUGGAUCAGAUCGCUUAUCAAGUAAAAUCUGAAUUGCACAAUAAAUGGAACAAGAAAGGAGCAUUGCAUGUGGUGCAUCAUAAUUGCUGACACUUCUUGAACUCCAUCUUUGGUUCGGACUCAAUAGAUUACUCAAUUUUCUAGUUAAAAUAUUGGGCAGACGUUACGGAAGGGACGUAGGAGAAGAACGUUUUUAGAAAUCUGGGCAAUAUAACGAAUAGUGAAGUAAUGUGACACGUGGCACGUGACAUAUGGCACGUGGUAAUAUAAUAUAAAAGUUAAUUUUGUUUUAUAAAAUAUACCAAAGAAGUGUCUUUUGACACGAUGAGUCCUACACGAUGUGUCGUUUAAAAAAUAAACGCGUCCUGUUUCUCAAGAAACAUUGUUUGGAUAUAGAUAAUUGAUACAUUGAUGACGGCAUAAGUGUCAUAGAUAUGCGCCAAACAAGAUAGUGUCAUCCGGCAAUGACAUAACUAGUAUUGUCUGACUUGUUUUUUAAUCCUUCCAUUCCACUCGAACUCAACAAAGUUGCUAAUAUCAUUUGAAUUAUAAAAUCUUAAAAUACCUGUUGUUAAAAAUAUGAGAAAGCAAAAUCAUUUUUCUAUAAUGGCAUGUAUGUACAUAUUCGAUAUAUUUACAUGUGAAUUGUUACACAAUUGGUGCAUGAUCAAGAUACAUUCAAUUUUGUACAAUAUUUUGUCAAGUAGGAUAAAUUAUGUUAUGUUCUAGUACCUAAAGUAAUACGGUGCUUGUUAAUUACAUUGUUUGAUUUUAUUUAAUUACUUUAUCAUAGUGAAAUUGGUCACUAUUAUAUUAAACUAUUAAAAUGAAGGUCGCUAUUCUAAAUGGAUACUAUACCAUAUGUGUAUAUGUACCGUAAAGAUAAUACCGAAUUGUAAACAAUUUUAUAACACAUGAUCAUAAUCUCCUGUAACAGCGAAACAGAAUAAAUAAUCUUGAAAAUCUUUCAAAAAUUAUACUGUGAAUGAUACUACAAAUUCAAAGAUCAAUUUGUAGUUUAUAAAUUUCCUAUUCUAUACAUAACUUACAUUUAUUGUAAUGAGUAUCAUGUAGAAUGCAAGGGAAUAAAAAGUACAUAUACUAAGUAUUGCAUGGACAUUCAUGAAAAAGUGUAUAUCUAAUACAUGAAUUAAUAAUGAUCAUUUUUGAAUUUAUGUACACUAUUUUAAGAGUGAUCAAGAAAUAUCAAACUGUUCGUUUUGUCACAGAAAUAUUUUCUCAUUUAUAUAUGUUUAAUAGUGUAGCAUAUGAUGUAUAUGUCACCUAUAGC
rnacentral:lncRNA from 1 species